rnacentral:tRNA from 1 species
CCUCGAGGUGUUUUUGACAUGUCAGAUUGCAAAUCUGAAGAAGUAGGCUAAAAACCUGCCCGGGCUU